rnacentral:tRNA from 1 species
UGGAAGUGUAGCUCAUUGGUAGAGCAUCUGGCUUAUAUCCAGCGUGUAGUGGGUUCGAUUCCUACCACUUCUAU